rnacentral:rRNA from 1 species
GAUGAACGCUGGCGGCGUGCCUAAUACAUGCAAGUCGAGCGAACAGACGAGAGUGCUUGCACUCUCUGACGUUAGCGGCGGACGGGUGAGUAACACGUGGGUAACCUACCUAUAAGACUGGGAUAACUUCGGGAAACCGGAGCUAAUACCGGAUAAUAUUUAGCUUCGCAUGAAGCAAUAGUGAAAGACGGUUCUGCUGUCACUUAUAGAUGGACCCGCGGUGUAUUAGCUAGUUGGUGAGGUAACGGCUCACCAAGGCAACGAUACAUAGCCGACCUGAGAGGGUGAUCGGCCAGACUGGGACUGAGACACGGCCCAGACUCCUACGGGAGGCAGCAGUAGGGAAUCUUCCGCAAUGGACGAAAGUCUGACGGAGCAAUGCCGCGUGAGUGAAGAAGGUUUUCGGAUCGUAAAACUCUGUUGUAAGGGAAGAACAAGUACGUUAGUAACUGAACGUACCUUGACGGUACCUUACCAGAAAGCCACGGCUAACUACGUG